CUGCUUGCGUUGACAGUACAUACACUAAAAUUGGAGUGAUACAAAGAAGAUUAAUAUGGCUUCUGCAUAAAGAUGACUCUCAGAUCCAUGGAACAUUUCAUAUUUUU